rnacentral:misc_RNA from 1 species
UCACAAGAAGGAUCACCUCCCUACAAGUAAGGGCAUCUAAGAUCAAAGGAUUAAUUAUUCCUUCAAUACGCUUGCAUUACAACCACAUGGCAAACCCGAAGAAUCUCUUGCUAUAGCAGCAGUGGAACCAAAAUUAUGGGAAGUGUCUAAAGCACCAUCAAAAUUGACCUUAAAGGUUCCUUGAGGCUGUAGAGACCAAUCAUUCUGGAGUUGAUGGGGGGCCAUUUGU